rnacentral:rRNA from 1 species
GAUGGACCCGCGGUGCAUUAGCUAGUUGGUGAGGUAACGGCUCACCAAGGCCACGAUGCAUAGCCGACCUGAGAGGGUGAUCGGCCACAUUGGGACUGAGACACGGCCCAAACUCCUACGGGAGGCAGCAGUAGGGAAUCUUCGGCAAUGGACGAAAGUCUGACCGAGCAACGCCGCGUGAGUGAAGAAGGUUUUCGGAUCGUAAAACUCUGUUGUUAGAGAAGAACAAGGAUGAGAGUAACUGUUCAUCCCUUGACGGUAUCUAACCAGAAAGCCACGGCUAACUACGUGCCAGCAGCCGCGGUAAUACGUAGGUGGCAAGCGUUGUCCGGAUUUAUUGGGCGUAAAGCGAGCGCAGGCGGUUUCUUAAGUCUGAUGUGAAAGCCCCCGGCUCAACCGGGGAGGGUCAUUGGAAACUGGGAGACUUGAGUGCAGAAGAGGAGAGUGGAAUUCCAUGUGUAGCGGUGAAAUGCGUAGAUAUAUGGAGGAACACCAGUGGCGAAGGCGGCUCUCUGGUCUGUAACUGACGCUGAGGCUCGAAAGCGUGGGGAGCAAACAGGAUUAGAUACCCUGGUAGUCCACGCCGUAAACGAUGAGUGCUAAGUGUUGGAGGGUUUCCGCCCUUCAGUGCUGCAGCUAACGCAUUAAGCACUCCGCCUGGGGAGUACGACCGCAAGGUUGAAACUCAAAGGAAUUGACGGGGGCCCGCACAAGCGGUGGAGCAUGUGGUUUAAUUCGAAGCAACGCGAAGAACCUUACCAGGUCUUGACAUCCUUUGACCACUCUAGAGAUAGAGCUUCCCCUUCGGGGGCAAAGUGACAGGUGGUGCAUGGUUGUCGUCAGCUCGUGUCGUGAGAUGUUGGGUUAAGUCCCGCAACGAGCGCAACCCUUAUUGUUAGUUGCCAUCAUUCAGUUGGGCACUCUAGCAAGACUGCCGGUGACAAACCGGAGGAAGGUGGGGAUGACGUCAAAUCAUCAUGCCCCUUAUGACCUGGGCUACACACGUGCUACAAUGGGAAGUACAACGAGUUGCGAAGUCGCGAGGCUAAGCUAAUCUCUUAAAGCUUCUCUCAGUUCGGAUUGCAGGCUGCAACUCGCCUGCAUGAAGCCGGAAUCGCUAGUAAUCGCGGAUCAGCACGCCGCGGUGAAUACGUUCCCGGGCCUUGUACACACCGCCCGUCACACCACGAGAGUUUGUAACACCCGAAGUCGGUGAGGUAACCUUUUGGAGCCAGCCGCCUAAGGUGGGAUAGAUGAUUGGGGUGAAGUCGUAACAAGGUAGCCGUAUCGGAAGGUGCGGCUGGAUCACCUCCUUUCUAAGGAA